rnacentral:rRNA from 1 species
GCUUACGGCCAUACCAGCCUGAAUACGCCCGAUCUCGUCCGAUCUCGGAAGCUAAGCAGGGUCGGGCCUGGUUAGUACUUGGAUGGGAGAACCGCCUGGGAAUACCAGGUGCUGUAAGCU